rnacentral:rRNA from 1 species
CCCUUAGAUGUUCCGGGCCGCACGCGCGCUACACUGAUGCAUUCAACGAGUUUCUUCCUGGUCCGAGAGGAAUGGGUAACCUUUUGAAAGUGCAUCGUGAUAGGGAUAGACUAUUGCAAUUAUUGGUCUUCAACGAGGAAUUCCUAGUAGACGUAGUUCAUCAGACUGCAUCGAUUACGUCCCUGCCCUUUGUACACACCGCCCGUCGCUCCUACCGAUUGAAUGCUCAGGUGAGCCAUUCGGACUUUCAUCAUGCUGGUUUCCAGUUUUGAUGAAGGAAAGUCUUGCGAACCUUAUCAUUUAGAGGAAGGAGAAGUCGUAACA